CAUCUCUCUGCCUCUCUCUGCCUUCAGAUCAAAGUGUAUGUGGGGGUACUGUUCUAUUCCUGUGAUAUAAUAAAAACCUGGAAACAUUGUACAUGUGGGUACUGUACUGAAAUUGAGACAGUGUUAAAUCAAAAUACCAAGUCUCUAUUGCACUAACUAAUAUCAGGAUUAUGACAUUUCCAGUGAAAAUGCAAUUUAUCUGAUUAAAAAGACAAAAAUAAAAGUAGAAAUCACUACAUGGGCCCAGCAUUUCUGUUAAAAGGGCUAGACCAAAUAUCUCAAAUUAUGCCAUUUGUUAUACUCUGGGUUGCCUGCGUUUGAAAAUGGUAUGCCAUAAUAGUGGAAAUGUUAUUACCCAGGCUGACAUGCUCUCUGAAAAGCCACAUAGGCCCAGAAAAUCACUUUGCCAAAUUACCAACUUUGAAAUGGAUAUCUAAAAUUUUUGUCCCCGUGACUUCCCCCACAAAAAAAAAAAAUCUGGUACAUGGGGGUACUGUUCUAUUCAG